CAGUUCUUACCUCCCUUUCUCUCAUGCCUGCUUUCUCUGCUCCCACUUUUUGCCUCCUAGGCGCUGCCAGGGAAAGCCGAGGACGCUCCUUCUUUGUCACCAGCAAAGACUCAUUCAGUUCAGUGACAGCCCAGCCAGUCCUACCCUGGUGGCUGGACACUCAGAGUCCUCGCUGCUUCCGUGGCUGCUUUUCCCACUCCUUCGAGGGCUAUGGCUCCAGUCGUGGUCAAGCUACUGACCUGGAUGCUCUGUGUCGUCAUUUGCAAACAUACCUACAUCAGGGCGACAGCAAACGUUACAGGUGGGACAGAGGAGGGCCGAGUGAGACCAGCCUGAGGUCCUGCCUUGCCCACACAAGUGGCUACUUCUUCCAUGCUGGGGAGGAUGAGGAUCAAGGAAGGACUGUCCGAGCAGGCUCUCGACACAGCCCCUGCACCAGAGCUCUCCACAGCGGGCCACAGCCGGCUCCCUGGGCAACUGGCCGUCUCGUCUCUGCGUCCAUCUGUGUGUGCCGUCUGGGUCGGCCCUGCCUCUCCUGGAUUGUCCUCGGCCAGGCCAGGGCUUGGCCACCACUAAAGAAGGCAUUUCAUAGUAACACUGCAAAAUCAAGCUGGGAGCAGCCUCAUGGCCACUUGGUUGAGCUUGUCCCAGGCUGGAAGGACUCAAAUCCUGUAACAUGGUGUCAUGGAAGGUGUCCUCUGGAAUCUCAGCUCUGGGCAGUGCUUAGCUAG
rnacentral:lncRNA from 1 species